UGAUGCCAAGAUCCACAUAUCAGUUUUUUUUUUUUUUUUUUUUUUUGUCAUAUUUCCUGACAUAAUGUACUUCUCACAUAUAAUGGUCGCUGUCUCAAUUCUAUGAUCAAUUGACGCUCUUUCCAUUUGAAGGAAGUAACUCAUCAACAUCAAUGUCCAUUUCAAAUGCAUUGACAAUUAGGGCUGGCAAUUUGGACCCUGGCAAAACCAACCAACCAUGUACCAACCGUACCAAGCAAAUUGGUAUGCCAAGUAGUUGGUAACCGAGUUUUCGGUACAGUAGUACCGUACCAAGUUCUUAGAGUCGGUUGGUACGUGGUACAACUUUUCCCAAAAUGCAGUAUACCGUGUACCAACCGAGUUUUAUUAAAAAUAAUAAAAAUAAUUAAAUAUACUAAUAAUAGCCGUUGAUUCAAUCUCCAUCGUUGAUCUCAUGACCUAAUCGGCUAAUCCUUACAGACUCAUCACUCAUUCAUUCCCUCAUUCACUUCACUUCAGCCUCUCUCGCCUCUCUUGCCGUCGACUCGGCAGCGCCUCCACUCGCCGUCGACUCGACUCAGCUUCGAGAACUGGGCAGCACCUCGACUUCGUAGCACCUCGCCUCUCUCGCCAUCGACUCGGCAGCGCCUCCACUUCGACUUGACUCGGUAGCGCCUCCACUCGCCGUCGACUCGACUCAGCUUCGAGAACUGGGCAGCACCUCGACUUCGUAGCACCUCGCCUCUCUCACCAUCGACUCGGCAGCGCCUCCACUUCGACUCAACUCGGCAGCGCCUCCUCUCGCCGUCGACUCGACUCAGCUUCGAGAUCAAAAGAAACUUUACAAGGUAUUAAUGGGGCUGGGCUAGGGGUAUGAGUUGAAGAGGAAGGAAUUGCAAAAAUUCUUAAGGACCUAGCAGAGCAUUCAAACACGCCUUAUGUCGCCAAAACAAGGGCCAAAUGUCAUCUUGUUGGGCCGUUCGUCAUUUUAAACACCUUUCAAACAUUGUGAAAAAGAACAAAGGCCAAAUAUUUUGUUUUUGGGCCUUCCAUUUACAACCAAAACUCCCAUUUCACAACACAAAGACAAUGUCCUUUUUUU
rnacentral:lncRNA from 1 species